CCUACGGGAGGCAGCAGUGGGGAAUUUUGGACAAUGGGCGAAAGCCUGAUCCAGCAAUGCCGCGUGAGUGAAGAAGGCCUUCGGGUUGUAAAGCUCUUUUGUCAGGGAAGAAACGGUGAAAGCUAAUAUCUUUUGCUAAUGACGGUACCUGAAGAAUAAGCACCGGCUAACUACGUGCCAGCAGCCGCGGUAAUACGUAGGGUGCAAGCGUUAAUCGGAAUUACUGGGCGUAAAGCGUGCGCAGGCGGUUUUGUAAGUCUGAUGUGAAAUCCCCGGGCUCAACCUGGGAAUUGCAUUGGAGACUGCAAGGCUAGAAUCUGGCAGAGGGGGGUAGAAUUCCACGUGUAGCAGUGAAAUGCGUAGAUAUGUGGAGGAACACCGAUGGCGAAGGCAGCCCCCUGGGUCAAGAUUGACGCUCAUGCACGAAAGCGUGGGGAGCAAACAGGAUUAGAUACCCUGGUAGUCCACGCCCUAAACGAUGUCUACUAGUUGUCGGGUCUUAAUUGACUUGGUAACGCAGCUAACGCGUGAAGUAGACCGCCUGGGGAGUACGGUCGCAAGAUUAAAACUUAAAGGAAUUGACGG
rnacentral:rRNA from 1 species